AAUAGCUCAAAUUUGAAAUCUGGCUCUUUCAGGGUCCGAGUUGUAAUUUGUAGAGGAUGUUUCGGGCAACGUUUCGGUUUAAAUUCCUUGGAACAGGAUGUCAUAGAGGGUGAGAGUCCCGUCUUGAACCGUAUACCGCGUCCAUGUGAAACUCCUUCGACGAGUCGAGUUGUUUGGGAAUGCAGCUCAAAAUGGGAGGUAAAUUUCUUCUAAAGCUAAAUAUUGGCCAGAGACCGAUAGCGCACAAGUAGAGUGAUCGAAAGAUGAAAAGCACUUUGAAAAGAGAGUUAAACAGUAUGUGAAAUUGUUGAAAGGGAAGCGCUUGCAACCAGACUUGUGUUUAACGGUUCCAUCACUGUUCUCAGUGGUCUAUUCCGUUAUAUCCAGGCCAGCAUCGGUUCGGGUGGUUAGUUAAAGGCCUUGGGAAUGUAUCUACCCUUCGGGGUCGACUUAUAGCCCUUGGUGUAAUGUGACCUACCUGGACCGAGGCACGCGCAUCUGCUCGGAUGCUGGCGUAAU
rnacentral:rRNA from 1 species